GAUGAACGCUGGCGGCGUGCCUAAUACAUGCAAGUCGAGCGAACAGAUGAGGAUCUUGCUCCUCUGACGUUAGCGGCGGACGGGUGAGUAACACGUGGAUAACCUACCUAUAAGACUGGGAUAACUUCGGGAAACCGGAGCUAAUACCGGAUAAUAUAUUGAACCGCAUGGUUCAUUAGUGAAAGACGGUUUUGCUGUCACUUAUAGAUGGAUCCGCGCCGCAUUAGCUAGUUGGUAAGGUAACGGCUUACCAAGGCAACGAUGCGUAGCCGACCUGAGAGGGUGAUCAGCCACACUGGAACUGAGACACGGUCCAGACUCCUACGGGAGGCAGCAGUAGGGAAUCUUCCACAAUGGGCGAAAGCCUGACGGAGCAACGCCGCGUGAGUGAUGAAGGUCUUCGGAUCGUAAAACUCUGUUAUUAGGGAAGAACAAAUGUGUAAGUAACUAUGCACGUCUUGACGGUACCUAAUCAGAAAGCCACGGCUAACUACGUG
rnacentral:rRNA from 1 species